AGGAGGAUCUGAUCCUCAAUCAUUUGUGUUAUUUGCCAAGCUUCAUUUCAAACCUAACAAGAGGGGUAUAUUUUCACAGUAAGGUGCCCCUGAAAACAGAAUCAUCUGACAUUUUUCAAGUAUGAGGGAAUGCUCUCCAGGCCAUGGCCAUGCAAACAUUUCAGAGCAAAAAGUUGACUUCCUAGUAUGGCUUGAAUUGAGUGGGAGAUACAGAGUCUUAGUCCAAGUACUUGUUCUAACUUAAUCAUUAUCCCCAAACUCUGAGUUAAAUUGUGAAUUUGCUUAAGAUUCAAAUUCCACAUACCUGUUUAAUAUUUCCACUUUUUGUUUUUUAACUUUUCUUAUACUUCCCUGUCUAAAUGUAAAAUACUAGGAUCCUCUGUAGACCUGCAGUCAUGUUUUGGUUAACGGCUUUAGAAUGUGCUAAACCCCUUCUAGAUCCAUAAAAAUGAUCUAUUCCUUCAUAUUUCUUAAUUGAUGAAGACUGAUAGUGUGUGGAACACUGAGACAUCACUGAGAGGUUAAAAUGGAUUUUCUAAACAAUUUUCACAGACUUGUUUAAACAGGAAGUGAUUUUUAUGUCGUCCGAUCUUUGAGUGAAGCAAAGGCAGAAUUCAAGAACACAGGGUAAAAUACACCAAAACAACACGAAGCAGCAAAGCCUUGUCCAAGAAAAUGGAUUAAAUUGUUGCUGCAAUGUUUGAGAUCUGAGCUUCAGUAAUGACAUAAGAAAGCUGCAGAGCCGAUGCUGAAGUGGUGAAGGUGAAGAAAAACUCAAACCCAAUGAACCCUGCAUAGUUGUGACACUGAUGCUGGAUACCAUGGAAGAUACAUCUGACAGGCCUGGCUGCAAGGACUGAAGAUGCCAGGAUGUUUUCAGAACUGGUGAAAUACGCUUUGUUGGACAAAGGGGCUUCACCCAAGCUAGAAUUCCAGACUGUCCUGCUCCCCAGGGCUAGAGAUGAUUUGUUUAUUUCCUUUGUCUGUCCUGUGCAAAAGGGAAGCUAUCAGUAAGACAAC
rnacentral:lncRNA from 1 species